rnacentral:rRNA from 1 species
UGGCGAAGGCGGCCCCCUGGACAAGACUGACGCUCAGGUGCGAAGCGUGGGGAGCAAACAGGAUUAGAUACCUGGUAGUCACGCUGUAAACGAUGUCGAUUUGGAGGUUGUUCCCUUGAGGAGUGGCUUCCGGAGCUAACGUGUUAAAUCGACCGCUGGGGAGUACGGCCGCAAGGUUAAAACUCAAAUGAAUUGACGGGGGCCCGCACAAGCGGUGGAGCAUGUGGUUUAAUUCGAUGCAACGCGAAGAACCUUACCUACUCUUGACAUCCAGAGAAUUUAGCAGAGAUGCUUUAGUGCCUUCGGGAACUCUGAGACAGGUGCUGCAUGGCUGUCGUCAGCUCGUGUUGUGAAAUGUUGGGUUAAGUCCCGCAACGAGCGCAACCCUUAUCCUUUGUUGCCAGCACAUUAUGGUGGGAACUCAAAGGAGACUGCCGGUGAUAAACCGGAGGAAGGUGGGGAUGACGUCAAGUCAUCAUGGCCCUUACGAGUAGGGCUACACACGUGCUACAAUGGCGUAUACAAAGAGAAGCGACCUCGCGAGAGCAAGCGGAACUCAUAAAGUACGUCGUAGUCCGGAUUGGAGUCUGCAACUCGACUCCAUGAAGUCGGAAUUGCUAGUAAUCGUAGAUCAGAAUGCUACGGUGAAUACGUUCCCGGGCCUUGUACACACCGCCCGUCACACCAUGGGAGUGGGUUGCAAAAGAAGUAGGUAGCUUAACCUUCGGGAGGGCGCUUACCACUUUGUGAUUCAUGACUGGGGUGAAGUCGUAACAAGGUAACCA